rnacentral:lncRNA from 10 species
CUAGGUGCCUCCUCCCGCUGCUUUCCGCCAGCUGCGGGGUGUGAGAUUAAUCCCCGCCGAUUAGCGCCAGGUGUACUAAGCGCUGGAUGGUUCCCUGACCAGAUGAAACAUCAGCCGAUGUUCUAAUGCCGGUCCCCUGGGCGCUGUCCCCGAGAGGGAAAACCUGUUUUCUGACCCCGGCUCUAGUCGGCCUCUGGAGGUCUGCAGCUGGGUUAUUUUACCUUUGAAACGGACGACACCUGCCCCGUGCACCCCAGCGGCUCCUCCACACGGAGAGAUGGUGUCAGUCAAAGGCCGUCUAGAUGACGAGUUUAUGAAAUUGUUCCUGGCCCGUGCCGGGCACGACCUUGCAGAGAGCCCAGAAGAUGAAACCCCAGCCCUGCCAGGAGCUCACCUGCUAAUUAGGAGGACAACGAAUCACCUCACCUCCCUAGACUUUGCUUCUCCUUUAUUCAGUGAGGGAUUGGACUAGCUGGUCCUUGAGGACUUUUCAGAAAGUCUGGUUCUGGGAGAUGACCAAUGGGAUCAUCUUAUGCUAUGAGCUUUCCUGGAAUGACAGGUAAUGGAGAGUGAGGAGAUUUUACCUGAUAUGGUCCUGUUUGCACCAUCAGCCAGCAACCUUUCUGGGAAGCGUGCUUAUUAUGUACCAACAUAAAAGCUUGAAUAUAAGUGAAUUCACAGCUGGAGUCACCUCAGCAGUGGCAUCUGGGGUGCCACUGCUGGCAUCAGGGGAGUUCCCACAAGGGAGUACCCCAAGCCAUCCCAAGAUGGGACCAGUUGGAAUCCCAAAGAAAGAAGCACUAGACGCCAGGGUGAUCAGAUCAAAGCAUUUAUUAUGAGAACUUAGGUAGAAACUGGGUUUCACCAUUUCCUC